rnacentral:rRNA from 1 species
UACGUAGGGUGCGAGCGUUAAUCGGAAUUACUGGGCGUAAAGCGUGCGCAGGCGGUGAUGUAAGACAGAUGUGAAAUCCCCGGGCUCAACCUGGGAACUGCAUUUGUGACUGCAUCGCUGGAGUGCGGCAGAGGGGGAUGGAACUCCGCGUGUAGCAGUGAAAUGCGUAGAUAUGCGGAGGAACACCGAUGGCGAAGGCAAUCCCCUGGGCCUGCACUGACGCUCAUGCACGAAAGCGUGGGGAGCAAACAGG